UACGGGAGGCAGCAGGGGGAAUAUUGCACAAUGGGCGAAAGCCUGAUGCAGCUAUGCCGCGUGUAUGAAGAAGGCCUUAGGGUUGUAAAGUACUUUCAUCGGGGAGGAAAAAACAAAACUAAUAAUUUUAUUUCUUGACGUUACCCGAAAAAGAAGCACCGGCUAACUCCGUGCCAGCAGCCGCGGUAAUACGGAGGGUGCUAGCGUUAAUCAGAAUUACUGGGCGUAAAGAGCACGUAGGUGGUUUUUUUAAAGUCAGAUGUGAAAUCCCUGGGCUUUAACCUAGGAACUGCAUUUUGAAACUGAAAUACUAGAGUAUCGUAGAGGGAGGUAGAAUUCUAGGUGUAGCGGUGAAAUGCGUAGAUAUCUGGAGGAAUACCUGUGGCGAAAGCGGCCUCCUAAACGAAUACUGACACUGAGGUGCGAAAGCGUGGGGAGCGAAACAGGGAUUAGGAU
rnacentral:rRNA from 1 species